rnacentral:rRNA from 1 species
AGAACGAACGCUGGCGGCAGGCCUCAAACAUGCAAGUCUAGGGGGCGUAGCAAUACGUCACCGGCGGACGGGUGCGUAACACGUGGGAAUGUACUUAUUGGUUCGGAACAACUCAGGGAAACUUGAGCUAAUACCGAAUGUGCCCGUAAGGGGAAAGAUUUAUCGCCAAUAAAUCAGCCCGCGUCCGAUUAGCUAGUUGGUGGGGUAAAGGCCCACCAAGGCGACGAUCGGUAGCUGUUCUGAGAGGAAGAUCAGCCACACUGGGACUGAGACACGGCCCAGACUCCUACGGGAGGCAGCAGUUGGGAAUCUUGGACAAUGGGGAAACCCUGAUCCAGCCAUGCCGCGUGAGUGAUGAAGGCCUUAGGGUUGUAAAACUCGUUUCGGCGGGGACGAUAAUGACGGUACCCGCAGAAGAAGCUCCGGCUAACUUCGUGCCAGCAGCCGC